rnacentral:rRNA from 1 species
CAGGUACAGAGAGAAGCCAGGUGGCGACACCGAGCGGAACUCGAAAGCCUGUCUCAGUUCGGAUCGGAGUCUGCAACCCGACUCCGUGAAGCUGGAUUCGCUAGUAAUCGCGCAUCAGCCAUGGCGCGGUGAAUACGUUCCCGGGCCUUGUACACACCGCCCGUCAAGCCAUGGAAGCCGGGAGUGCCUGAAGUAUGCAACCGCAAGGAGCGUCCUAAGGUAAAACCGGUGACUGGGGCUAAGUCGUAACAAGGUAUC